GUUCGGAUGGUGUAGUCGGUUAUCACGAAUCCUUAACACGGAUUAGGUCGUGGGUUCGAUUCCCGCUCUGAAUA
rnacentral:ncRNA from 13 species